AUACGGAGGGUGCAGGCGUUACUCGGAAUCACUGGGCGUAAAGCGCGCGCAGGCGGUCUUUUAAGUUGGAUGUGAAAGCCUACGGCUCAACCGUAGAACUGCAUCCAAAACUAUUAGACUAGAGUGUGGGAGAGGAAGAUGGAAUUAGUUGUGUAGGGGUAAAGUCCGUAGAGAUAACUAGGAAUACCAAAAGCGAAGGCAAUCUUCUGGAACACUACUGACGCUGAGGCGCGAAGGCGUGGGGAGCAAACAGGAUUAGAAACCCCUGUAGUCC
rnacentral:rRNA from 1 species